GCUCCAGUGGCCUAGUGGUUAGAGCGUCCGUUUCGGAUGCAGGAGGUUGUAGGUUCAAUCCCUGGUUGAGUCA